AACUAUGGACCCCUCCUCUCUUAUCAGCAUGUUUAUGUAAUAUAGCUCAAGUGAGGAAUUCCCGGUGCAUUUCAGAGUUUCCAUCCCAUUAGCGUCACCAUGUCAUCAAGAUUUAAGGAGUGUUGUAGCAGUAGUGACCAAGGUUGAGAGGAGCUAUUCUCCUUUAACUCAUUUGUCAAGUGUUAGAGUUGAUGCUAGUGGAAAGACAGACAUUGAUGAAUAUAGAAUACUCAUAAGUUCUCAAAUCUAAUGUCUUCGGUAG